UCAUGUAAUGAUUUCCUAGUGGUCUUAUGUAUCGGAUCCCAUUAAAACUCCGUAGUUAAGCGCGCUCAUGAUAGAGUAGUAAUAGGAUGGGUGAUCACCCAUGAAGUCCUAGUGUUUUACAUGCC
rnacentral:rRNA from 1 species